rnacentral:rRNA from 1 species
UACGUAGGUGGCAAGCGUUAUCCGGAAUCACUGGGUUUAAAGGGUGCGUAGGUGGGUGUUUAAGUGAGUGGUGAAAGCUCCCGGCUUAACCGGGAAAUUGCCAUUCAUACUGGAUACCUUGAGUACAGUUGAGGUGGGCGGAAUGUGUCAUGUAGCGGUGAAAUGCUUAGAUAUGACACAGAACACCGAUUGCGAAGGCAGCUCGCUAAACUGUAACUGACACUGAGGCACGAAAGCGUGGGGAUCAAACAGG